rnacentral:lncRNA from 10 species
CUCAUUGCCUCCCCGUCCCUGUCUCCCCUGACACUCGUUCCUCCAGAAGCCCGGUAAACCCCGUCCUUACGAGCCCCGCCCCUAGCUCUUCUACUACGGAGGGGAACUGCAGAGCCAGAAGAGCACGGAGCAGCAACUCGCAGCCCAAUUGGUGACGCUGCAGGACGCGCUGCAGACAGCGGAGGCCUGGGCCAUAUUCCAGGAGCAGACCGUAGUCCUGCAGGUGCGGCCCCACUCAGACGCCAAGGUGCCUCCCGCCUCUCCUCCCCCAGACCUGGGGCGGUGUGACGGGCAGCUUCGCAGAGUGCAGUACAGCACCGAGUCGCUCAUGGAGGAGAUGGCCAGGGCGGACCGAGUGAGCGCCUGCGCGGGUCCGGGCGGGGUGGGCUGGAGCGGGACACCCCUCCCCAUCCCCCCCGCGGUACCGCCUCCCC